ACAAGCUGACCGCGCACAUUCAUUUUCACCUCUGGUUUCUUUAGUACUGGCUGCCAAAGCCAACCCUCCAGUUCCUAGCCUUCUCCCUAAAAUGCUAUUUUUUAAUGGAAGGAGCGCAGCAUCUGACUCCAGGCCAAAUCUUUUCCCGACACUUACUAGCGUUUUCAUGCUGGGCAAAUCAAUAACUACUCUGAACCCCAGUUUUUUCAUCCAUCAAAUGGCGGUGAUACACUGCUUCUAACACAAGGCCGAGGCAGAACUGUCCCAGAGAAAAUGGAGUUGGAUCUCUGACCAGAGCUGAAAGGGAAAAAGUCUAUCCAACAACUAUAAAGACAGAUGAUUAGUCUGGAUCUCUUCAGUUCAACGAGGGAUUUGUAUCCAGAUAAACUCAGUGAGAUUUGCUACUUUCCUCCACAGUUUGGAAGGGGGAAAAAAAGGUGUAUCCCCAACUGUUCACCUGCUUUUCUUAGUUGGAGAUUCCAUUCCCAUCCCCCAUUGGCAGCCAAAGUUCUAUCUCCUUUUAGCCUGAGAAAACACUGCAAAAUCCAGACCUUGUAUUUCCUUCAGUAUCUCUCUCUCUUCCACAAUGAAUAGAGUGGAAUAGUACUGUGUUGUAAGGUGCAAUGAAUAUGAAGAAUUCAGAGAAGCAUAGGAAAACAAAUGAUAAAAAACAAAACAGAAAAUAAUUUAAUGAAAUAGAACUAGGGAAAUGAUAUACACUAUGACUACAAUACAAAUGAAAAGGGCAACUAUAUUUUUAAAAAGAAACUUUUUAAUAUUGUAUAAUUAUGAUGACUUGACCCCAAAAACUUGACCCCAGAGAAGGGUUAAAAAAAUAUACUUCCCUUCAUCCUUUGUGGAGCUAAAGGGACAACAGAUUUAUUACAAAUACUGUCACACACAUAUGUUUCUUGGUUUUGUUGAACUAGUUUUUCCUACUUCUUUAAGACAUUUGUUAGAAGUGUUAAAUUGCCAGGGGGAGGGAUUAUACACAGAACUGAAGAUGAUGUAAAAACAAAAGAGAUCAACAAAAAUUUUAAUGAGCUGAAAACUACCAGAUGGUAGCUGCCCCAUCCUACCUGGAGCCACUAAUGGCCUUCCCAGAAACCAGACUAUAAUGUAAAGACCAAGAAGCUGUUGUUCAGUCAUGUCUGGCUUUUCAUGACCCCAUUUGGGGUUUUCUUGUCAAAGGUACUGGAGUGGUUUGCCAUUUCCUUCUCCAGUUCAUUUUAUAGAUGAGGAAACAGAGGCACACAGGUUUAAGUGACUUGCCCAGGGUCACAUAUCCAAUCAGUAUCUGAGGCCAUAUUUAAACUCUGGGAAAUGAGUCUUACUGACCCUAAGCCCAGCAUUUUAUUCGAUGUGCUACCUAAUAGCCCCAAAAGUAAAAGGGCUGCUGUUUCUGCCUAGAAGGGCCCCUGAGAACUUAGUGAAUUGGCUUGUUCUUGGAAUUUCUGUUUUUCAAGACCAAUCUGGACAGAUAGAAAUAUGAGAAGUUGGAAUCUAAGUUUUGCUUCCUGCCCAGUCAUUUGAGAGCAUGAAACUUCAGACUUAAAUUCUACAUAGGAAAUUCAUCUGCCUCGUCAAAAUACAUUAAGAAAUGUCCCAGUGUUUCUUUCGAUGAUGCCUUUCCCCUUGAAUGACCACACUCCUUGUCAGAGUGACUGUUGGUCUUUACUAUCUUACAUUCUCUUUUUUUAGGCUAUGAUUUGAUACUUCUCUAGUGUGAAUAACAGUCCAAUACUUUAGUAUUCUAUAACUUCAGAAGUCCCUUUUUGAGAUUAAAUAUAUGCAAAUGAUCGUGCCCAUUAUAGGUCUGCUAAAAUUCUCUAAUUUCAACUUGAAAGAGGAGAGAUCUUGAGACAGCAUGACAUUAUUUGAUCCCAAAGAAAUAAUCAAACUAACUUGGUAUCACUUGGGUAGCAAUUUAUCUCCUCUGCCUGGAGCAGAAAGAAAUUUCUUCAUGGCAAUAAUGGAUUUAUGUCAUUUCUUCCAAAUCUGCUUCUUCCCAUUGAAGGACGAUAUUCAAAAUGUGAAGUCUUUUUAGUCAGGAGUAGCUCCAGGCAUGGAACAGUUCAGAGACUUUUCACAGUUGAAGAUUCCAACGUUCUCCCCCUGCUGACUUCGGUGACAAGGUUACAAGCAAUAGACAGCUCCCUCCAACUGCUAGGUCUCAUUCAUUUCCUGAGUACACAGAAGAUACAGAAACACAGGAAAAUGAUGGCCCAUGUUUGCAGAGAUUCCUUGGUGCUCUGAGAUCGUAAUGAAGUCAUAGAGCAACAAGUUCUAUUCAGCAUCAAAGCAUUUUUCAGACUCUCCCCAUUCCUAUACACAUACACCAACACAGGGGAAAUUUGCAUGGGCUUACAUGGGUACCUACCAAGUGCCCAUCUUCCUGGGUCCCUGCUGCUUCUCCCAGGCACCCAGGAAUCACAAAGACAGGAGAGGCACUGUGCAGGAAAGUGGGCUGUGGGGUACCUGGUGGGAUAAUGCCGAUUUUAUUCUGCUAAGGAGGAAAAUGUGUUAAUAAACG